rfam:Ricinus communis cultivar Hale ctg_1100012338678, whole genome shotgun sequence.
CAUCCCAAUGAAGAAGGAAUUUUUAAAGUAGUGGGCUGAUUGCCAUUGAUGACUGACCAAUUCUGAGGGAUG